rnacentral:rRNA from 1 species
UAGGGAAUAUUGGACAAUGGGGGCAACCCUGAUCCAGCCAUGCCGCGUGAGUGAAGAAGGCCCUCGGGUUGUAAAGCUCUUUUGUCCGGAAAGAAAAGCAUUCGGUGAAUACCCGGAUGUUCUGACGGUACCGGAAGAAUAAGCACCGGCUAACUUCGUGCCAGCAGCCGCGGUAAUACGAAGGGUGCAAGCGUUACUCGGAAUUACUGGGCGUAAAGCGUGCGUAGGUGGUUGUUUAAGUCUGAUGUGAAAGCCCUGGGCUCAACCUGGGAAUGGCAUUGGAAACUGGGCAGCUAGAGUGCGGUAGAGGGUAGUGGAAUUCCAGGUGUAGCAGUGAAAUGCGUAGAGAUCGGGAGGAACAUCUGUGGCGAAGGCGACUGCCUGGACCAGCACUGACACUGAGGCACGAAAGCGUGGGGAGCAAACA